rnacentral:tRNA from 1 species
UUUAGUAAUAGUUUAAUGAGAAUAAAGGUUUGUGGUGUCUUAGGUAGUUUCGAUUUUGCUAAAU